CAAUAGCUGAAUAUCAAAAGCACCAUCAUGAAAUAUGACAAUACAGAUAAUGCUCUUGGUUAGUUCACUGAAUGAAUAGACAAAAUAUUUUGAAUUACAACAAUAUAAAGAAUUCAGGAGACAAAGACGUGAACUAUUCUAGCUGCUUACCAACUAGGACAUAGACUCUGUUUGCAGAAAAAUCAUAAUCUUCAAUAAGCUGUAGGAACAAUGAUAUACUCCAACAGUACAAAUCAGGAAACGGUCAAGGGUGCUCACCUUUCUCUCUAGACUGUCCUCCCCAUCUGUGGAACUAACACUAUCAUACAGUCUUGUCCUAGAGGGUCUCUGGCGUCUGUUCUUCACAGAGAGCUGGGCUCGAGUUUUCAGUGCUUUUGAAUCCAGGCGCUCUGUCUCUGGGACUGCUUCAUUCAAGUCUAAGAAUAUUGAAAGAUAAUCAGUGAGAGAAACCUUUGGAGAGAACUGAUGAAGAGACCACAGACACUGAUAAAAUCUCAAGAAAGACCAGUGAGGAAUUUACCUAAUCAGCAAAUUGACGAUAGCUGGGGAAAAGAAACAAGGUCUGGCUACACAAAUGAAGAAACAAACAGUUAAAAAAUCGUAAGUAC
rnacentral:lncRNA from 1 species